rnacentral:rRNA from 1 species
AGAGUUUGAUCAUGGCUCAGGAUGAACGCUAGCGGCAGGCCUAAUACAUGCAAGUCGAACGGUUGUGGAGCAAUCCAUGAUAGUGGCAAACGGGUGCGUAACGCGUAAUCAAGCUGCCCCUCACUGGGGGAUAGCCCGGCGAAAGCUGGGGUAAGCCCGCAUAGUACCAUUAUCUGGCAUCAGGUGAUGGUUAAAAUCUUUUUGGUGGUGAGGGAGGUGGUUGCGUCUGAUUAGCUGGUUGGGGGGGUAACGGCUCACCAAGGCGAUGAUCAGUAGGGGAACUGAGAGGUUUGGCCCCCACAUGGGUACUGAGAUACGGACCCAACUCCUACGGGAGGCAGCAGUAGGGAAUAUUGGGCAAUGGAGGCAACUCUGACCCAGCCAUGCCGCGUGCAGGACGACGGCGCUCAGCGUUGUAAACUGCUUUUGCCCAAGAAGAAUGACAGGGGUGCGCCCCUGUGUGACGGUAUUGGGUGAAUAAGCACCGGCUAACUCCGUGCCAGCCGCCGCGGUAAUUC